rnacentral:rRNA from 1 species
GACAUGGACGCAGUCUGAUCCAUUCAUUCCGCGUGCAGGACGAAGGCCUUCGGGUUGUAAACUGCUUUUGUACGGAACGAAAAAGCCUUGGUUAAUACCCAGUGCUCCAUGACGGUACCGUAAGAAUAAGCACCGGCUAACUACGUGCCAGCAGCCGCGGUAAUACGUAGGGUGCAAGCGUUAAUCGGAAUUACUGGGCGUAAAGCGUGUGCAGGCGGUUAUAUAAGACAGAUGUGAAAUCCCCGAGCUUAACUUGGGAACUGCAUUUGUGACUGUAUAGCUAGAGUACGGCAGAGGGGGAUGGAAUUCCGCGUGUAGCAGUGAAAUGCGUAGAUAUGCGGAGGAACACCGAUGGCGAAGGCAAUCCCCUGGGCCUGUACUGACGCUCAUGCACGAAAGCGUGGGGAGCAAACAGGAUUAGAUACCCUGGUAGUCCACGCCCUAAACGAUGUCAACUGGUUGUUGGGUCUUCACUGACUCAGUAACGAAGCUAACGCGUGAAGUUGACCGCCUGGGGAGUACGGACGCAAGGUUGAAAACUCAACGGAAUUGACGGGGACCCGUACAAGCGGUGGAUGAUGUGGUUUAAUUCGAUGCAACGCCGAAAAACUUACCAC